rnacentral:lncRNA from 1 species
UUCAGCCUUCCUUUGCAUGUUUCCUAUGAUUGUUUUAUGAGGUUUUAGGGGGUUUUUGGGGAGUAUUUUAGAGUCAUGUUCAUGUAUGUUUGGUCCCUCAUUUGAGUCCACCUGUGUAGGUUUGGACCCGAGGAACCGAGGACCCCAGCAGUGAGUCAGCUGCUUCAGUUCUUUGUCAGAGUUAGCCUGAGGUGAGUAGAAUAAACUUUAUGUUUUAAACUAAUGCAAGUUUUAGCAUGAAUCAUGCAUCACGAAUGCCAUGUGAUAUAAUAGGUUGUUGCAUUAGAAUCCACGAAUAUGUUGCACUGCAUUCUUUGUUGUGGAUGUGGGUGAAUGCUGUAUGAUCCAAUUAGUCCCUGAGGAAAGACCAGGACCCCAUUCUAUGGCCUGGCACAGUAUGGAACGCGAAGACCAGGUGCCCAGAUGAGG